rnacentral:rRNA from 1 species
UCCUACGGGGGGCAGCAGUGGGGAAUCUUGCGCAAUGGGCGAAAGCCUGACGCAGCGACGCCGCGUGGGUGAUGAAGGCCUUCGGGUUGUAAAGCUCUGUGGGGAGAGACGAAUAAGACGUGGCUAACAUCCACGGCGAUGACGGUAUCUCCUUAGCAAGCACCGGCUAACUCUGUGCCAGCAGCCGCGGUAAGACAGAGGGUGCAAACGUUGUUCGGAAUUACUGGGCGUAAAGCGUGUGUAGGCGGCCAGGUAAGUUGGAUGUGAAAGCCCGGGGCUCAACCCCGGAAGUGCAUUCAAAACUGCUUGGCUUGAGUAUCGGAGAGGUUGGUGGAAUUCUCGGUGUAGAGGUGAAAUUCGUAGAUAUCGAGAGGAACACCGGUGGCGAAGGCGGCCAACUGGACGAAUACUGACGCUGAGACACGAAAGCGUGGGGAGCAAACAGGAUUAGAUACCCGAGUAGUC